rnacentral:rRNA from 1 species
AGGACGAACGCUGGCGGCGUGCUUAACACAUGCAAGUCGAGCGGAAAGGCCCUUCGGGGUACUCGAGCGGCGAACGGGUGAGUAACACGUGAGCAACCUGCCCCUGGCUCUGGGAUAGCCUUCGGAAACGGGGAUUAAUACCGGAUAUUCACUGCUUCCUGCAUGGGGGGUGGUGGAAAGUUUUUCGGCUGGGGUGGGGCUCGCGGCCUAUCAGCUUGUUGGGGGGGUGACGGCCCACCAAGGCGACGACGGGUAGCCGGCCUGAGAGGGCGACCGGCCACACUGGGACUGAGACACGGCCCAGACUCCUACGGGAGGCAGCAGUGGGGAAUAUUGCACAAUGGGCGAAAGCCUGAUGCAGCGACGCCGCGUGAGGGAUGACGGCCUUCGGGUUGUAAACCUCUUUCAGCAGGACGAAGCGAAGUGACGGUACCUGCAGAAGAAGCACCGGCCAACUACGUGCCAGCAGCCGC